rnacentral:rRNA from 1 species
UACGAAGGGUGCAAGCGUUACUCGGAAUUACUGGGCGUAAAGCGUGCGUAGGUGGUUUGUUAAGUCUGAUGUGAAAGCCCUGGGCUCAACCUGGGAAUGGCAAUGGAUACUGGCAAGCUAGAGUGCGGUAGAGGGUAGUGGAAUUCCCGGUGUAGCGGUGAAAUGCGUAGAGAUCGGGAGGAACACCAGUGGCGAAGGCGGCUACCUGGACCAGCACUGACACUGAGGCACGAAAGCGUGGGGAGCAAACAGG